rnacentral:rRNA from 1 species
GAUGAACGCUGGCGGCGUGCUUAACACAUGCAAGUCGAGCGAGUGAGUUCUUCGGAACGAUCUAGCGGCGGACGGGUGAGUAACACGUGGGCAACCUGCCUCAUAGAGGGGAAUAGCCUCCCGAAAGGGAGAUUAAUACCGCAUAAAAUUAUCGAGUGGCAUCACAUGAUAAUCAAAGGAGUAAUCCGCUAUGAGAUGGGCCCGCGGCGCAUUAGCUAGUUGGUGAGGUAACGGCUCACCAAGGCGACGAUGCGUAGCCGACCUGAGAGGGUGAUCGGGCACAUUGGGACUGGGACACGGCCCAGAGUCCUACGGGAGGCAGAAGUGGGGAAUAUUGCACAAUGGGGGAAACCCUGAUGCAGCAACGCCGCGUGAAUGAUGAAGGUCUUCGGAUUGUAAAGCUCUGUCUUUGGGGACGAUAAUGACGGUACCCAAGGAGGAAGCCACGGCUAACUACGUGCCAGCCGCCGCAGUAA